CGGCGGACUGGGCCGGGCCAGCGGGGCUUCGCGAAGCUCCGCGCCAGGGAGCGGGCGGGGCCUGAGAUCGCCCCGCCCCGCGCCGCAGAGUUGGCGCCGCCCCCGCCUCGCCGCCGGCCACCGGGGGCACCUGGCUGUCGCCGCCUCAUGGCUCUCGGGACUCGGGGCGGGUGGGGAAGGCAAGCCGUGCCCACAGCUAGCUGAGCGUGACUUCGUCGGGAAGGGAGGUGGGAACCGCGAGUGCCCACCACCCUCUGGAUUGCAAGAACAUCAAGGUGAUGAUUCUAUCCUCUACUGCUCUUAGGAUGAUCCACGGAGCCCAACCACAUAUGAUAUGUAACACACAGCCAUAUGAGUGCUUGGAAGAUGUUGAAAUUACAGAAUGUAGCAGCCAAAGGUCCCAGGAAAUCAGCCCAUGUCAUGUCUGGUGUGCCUGAAAUCCUUGACCAAGUGGCUCCCUCUGCUUGGGGCAUGGUUUUCCAUGCCUCACAGCAUGGUGCGUGGCAGCAGCCACAAGCUGUGUGAUGGGCAGAGCUGCUUCAAGGUCCUGACUGCACCAUCCACAGCUAAUGGUGUCAGGCAGUUUAUGUAGUCUCCCUGAGGCUUUAUGCAUCUGUAACAUGGGACUGUCUACCUCAUGAUAUUGUCAAGAGAAUUCAGGCUUUCAGGGCCUGUCAUCAGCAGGUGCUCAUGUCCUUCCAAAUGCAGUUCAGGCACCAUCACCCCCGUG